rnacentral:rRNA from 1 species
CAGGACGAACGCUGGCGGCGUGCCUAAUACAUGCAAGUCGAGCGCGGGAAGCGGACUCGUCACCCUUCGGGGUGUCUAGUCCGUGGAACGAGCGGCGGAUGGGUGAGUAUCACGUGGGCAACCUGCCUGUAAGAUUGGGAUAACUCGCGGAAACGUGAGCUAAUACCGAAUGAAGUCUUUCACCGCCUGGUGAAAGGAUGAAAGAUGGCUUUUAGCUAUCACUUACAGAUGGGCCCGCGGCGCAUUAGCUAGUUGGUGGGGUAAAGGCCUACCAAGGCGACGAUGCGUAGCCGACCUGAGAGGGUGAUCGGCCACACUGGGACUGAGACACGGCCCAGACUCCUACGGGAGGCAGCAGUAGGGAAUCUUCCGCAAUGGACGAAAGUCUGACGGAGCAACGCCGCGUGAAGUGAUGAAGGUCUUCGGAUCGUAAAACUCUGUUGUCAGGGAAGAACAAGUUGUGUUCUAACAGGACAUGACCUUGACGGUACCUGACCAGAAAGCCCCGGCUAACUACGUGCCAGCCGCGGC